rnacentral:rRNA from 1 species
CGGCGGACGGGUGAGUAAUGCCUAGGAAUCUGCCUGGUAGUGGGGGACGAACGUUUCGAAAGGAACGCUAAUACCGCAUACGUCCUACGGGAGAAAGCAGGGACCUUCGGGCCUUGCGCUAUCAGAUGAGCCUAGGUCGGAUUAGCUAGUUGGUGAGGUAAUGGCUCACCAAGGCGACGAUCCGUAACUGGUCUGAGAGGAUGAUCAGUCACACUGGAACUGAGACACGGUCCAGACUCCUACGGGAGGCAGCAGGC